UGCCUGGAUUUCUUGCCAUUGGAAGGGGUGCCUCUCCCUGAAGGUGGAUCUCUGAAGGAGGCAGGCCAGGCCUUCCAGCAAAGCUUUCUUUGCCUGGUGUGGUUGUCUAUCUCUCCAGGGGACAGCAAGUGACCGGCACAGAGGUGGUUCUGGAGUGUAUCAAGUGGAGCAUUAAAGGCUCUGCUGUGUGCCUGCAGAACGCAGGGACUGCCUUCCCAGCUGCCUCUGCGCAGCCAGAACCUUCCACUGAGAAGCCAGGCGCUUCUACAUGGUAGAGCUGAGCCAAGAACUUCAGACGUAACCAACGCACAGGACAAGCUCUGGGGACCGUGUCUCCUGAACGCACACGACACAAGCUGAGGGGAGCCACUCCUUAGAAACAAUUAAACAGGAAUAUUACAGGAUUCAGUAUCCCUCUUUGGGAACUGGUGGACCCGUCACCCCCAAAUGAAAUCAGCACUUCUCAAAGUGUCCUGUAUUUAUGGUAGCACUAGCCACAGUAGCCAGGAUACAAAAAAAAAAAAAAAAAAAAAGAAAAAAGAAAAAAGAAAAAAGAAAGAAAGAAAGAAAGACUUGUGAAUGGCUAAAGUUUGAUACACACCUCUAGAGAGAGGGGGAGAGAGAGAGCCUUAAAA
rnacentral:lncRNA from 1 species